rnacentral:misc_RNA from 1 species
CAGGGCUUCCAUAUUGUCGGGUAUGGCUGCACAACAUGCAUAGGGAAUUCUGGUGAAUUGGAUGAGUCAGUUGCUUCUGCUAUUUCAGAGAACGACAUUAUAGCUGCUGCUGUGCUCUCCGGUAACCGGAAUUUUGAAGGUCGGGUUCAUGCAUUGACAAGGGCCAACUACCUUGCAUCACCUCCUUUGGUGGUUGCCUAUGCUCUUGCUGGCACGGUUGACAUUGAUUUUGACAAGGAGCCAAUUGGAACAGGAAAGGAUGGUAAGAAUAUCUAUUUCAAGGAUAUCUGGCCAACUACAGAAGAAAUUGCAGAGGUUGUGCAAUCUAGUGUGUUGCCUGAUAUGUUCAAAAGCACUUAUGAGGCUAUCACAAAGGGCAAUCCCAUG